rnacentral:rRNA from 1 species
UACGUAGGGUGCAAGCGUUGUCCGGAAUUAUUGGGCGUAAAGAGCUCGUAGGCGGUUUGUCGCGUCUGCUGUGAAAAACUCGGGGCUUAACCCCGGGCCUGCAGUGGGUACGGGCAGACUAGAGUGCGGUAGGGGAGACUGGAAUUCCUGGUGUAGCGGUGAAAUGCGCAGAUAUCAGGAGGAACACCGGUGGCGAAGGCGGAUCUCUGGGCCAUUACUGACGCUGAGGAGCGAAAGCGUGGGGAGCGAACAGG